GGAUUUUUACGUAUUUCCCCCUAUUAAGCAACCUUAUUACGUAUUUCCCCAAAUAAAAAAAACAAUUACAUAUUUCCCCAUUUUCUGAUAAAUUACCCAAUUACCCUUUUGUUUUUCCCAUAACAUUCAGUUACUAUAUCUCAUCGUUUCCACUUCCAUGCCAAACCCAACAUCAUCCUGCAGUAAACAUAGAUACCAUCUUCGAUCUUCAGAGAUUUCUCCCAAUCUUCAGAAUAAACCUAGACACCGUCUUAAUCUUCAGACACGAUCUUCAGAAUAAACGUAGACGCCAUCUUAAUCUUCAGACGCGAACCCUUCAUCACAGACGGGUAACUUCGACUUCGAGUAACCCUACAUCAUAUCUGCAGAAUAAACGUAGACGCCAUCGUAACUUCGAACCCCUACAUCGCCGUGCAGAAGAAGACGCGAGCAGAAGAUGAUGCCAAACCCUAGAUCUACAGGUGAUUCAUGAUGGGACGAGGAAAGAGUACAAAAAAGAUCCUACUCAACAUCAAGCCUCGAGCAAGUAAAAGGUGACGAGGAAACAGUACACAAAAAUGUGAAAGUAAUUAGUCAAAGUUGAGCGGUUGAUUUUCAAUUUUUGGUAUCGUAUUUGUACUUAUUAAAUUUUAUGAAACUUUAUGUCUUUUGAACGGAAUUUGAUUACGAACAAGUAAGGAUUGCAUUUUGAUGCAAGUUUGUGUUUUUUAUUUUGAGUAUUAUGGUUUUGUUUGUAUUGUUUGACAAGAGUAGUAGGUAGAAGAAUUAGGGUGAUACUAUAUGGGUGGGUAAAUAUGUAAUUAAUUGAUAAUAUUCGAAUGGGGAAAUAUGUAAAUAUUCAUUUGAUACUUCAUUAAGGGUAAAAUGGUCAUAAAUAAGAGUUAUUUUAAUGAAAAGGGGAAAUAUGUAAUACAUAUGGGUUAGGAAGGGGAAAUAUGUAAUUGUUUUUUUUAUUUGGGGAAAUACGUAAUAAG
rnacentral:lncRNA from 1 species